rnacentral:tRNA from 1 species
GCCGAAGUGGCGGAAUUGGCAGACGCGCUACGUUCAGGGCGUAGUGGGAAAAUCCUCGUGGGGGUUCGAGUCCCCCCUUCGGCACCA